rnacentral:rRNA from 1 species
AGAUUGAACGCUGGCGGCAGGCCUAACACAUGCAAGUCGAGCGGUAGAGAGGUGCUUGCAUCUCUUGAGAGCGGCGGACGGGUGAAUAAUGCCUAGGAAUCUGCCUAGUGGUGGGGGAUAACGUUCGGAAACGGACGCUAAUACCGCAUAUGUCCUACGGGAGAAAGCGGGGGACCUUCGGGCCUCGCGCCAUUAGAUGAGCCUAGGUCGGAUUAGCUAGUUGGUGAGGUAAUGGCUCACCAAGGCGACGAUCCGUAACUGGUCUGAGAGGAUGAUCAGUCACACUGGAACUGAGACACGGUCCAGACUCCUACGGGAGCAGCAGUGGGGAAUAUUGGACAAGUGGGCGAAAGCC